AACUCACGAACCGUGAGAUCACGACCUGAGCUGAAUUGGACGCUUAACCGGCUGAGCCACCCAGGCGCCCCUGGUUUGUUAUUUUGAAGUGAGAGCCACAAAACUGAAUUCAUCGUCAUCUUGGUUUAUUACCAAGCUGUGUUCGUUGACCUGUGCGUGGCUCUGUGGACCGAGUUCAUUAGGAACCUGAAGGUCACCCGGAACCCUUGCCCACCCUGAGAGCUACGGCCUCUGUCUCCUUCCGUGCGCCCCCGUAAACCCCUGGGUUCUGUUUCUGCCGUCCUGACCUUUGAUUGAACUAAGGGGUAAUCCUACAACUGGGUGUCCCCAUGGGACUGUGGGGGACUCUCAGUGUCUCUGAGGUCCUGGUGGAUCC